GAGAAAGAAGCAUUAUAGUUAUGUGGCUAGCUUGAAACUAGCAGAAGGCGGUUCAAUUCCCCCCUUUCUUG
rnacentral:tRNA from 1 species